rnacentral:lncRNA from 1 species
AUGUGUGUGGGUCUGGUAGUGGUAGUCUCUCUAUUUUACUCUUUUCCUUUCGGCAUGGUUAAUACCUGCCUGGAGGCCGGAAAAAAUCAUUCUUUACCCCUCUCUAAUGAAUACUGCUACAGUGGGAGUAGGGAGAGAGAAAGGCAUCACAGUGGAGGAGAGAGAAAGGCAUCACAGUGGAGGAGAAAGAAAGGCAUCACAGUGGAGGAGAGAGAAAGGCAUCGCAGUGGAGGAGAGGAGAGAGAAGGGCAUCGCAGUGGAGGAGAGGAGAGAGAAGGGCAUCGCAGUGGAGGAGAGGAGAGAGAAAGGCAUCGCAGUGGAGGAGAGGAGAGAGAAGGGCAUAGCAGGGGAGGAGGAGAGAGAAGGGCAUCGCAGUGGGGGCGAGGAGAGAGAAGGGCAUCGCAGUGGGGGGGGGGGGGGGGGAGAAGGGCAUCGCAGUGGGGGGGGGGGGAGAGAAGGGCAUCGCAGUGGGGGGAGGAGAGAGAAGGGCAUCACAGUGGGGGACAGGAGAGAGAAAGGCAUCGCAGUGGGGGACAGGAGAGAGAAAGGCAUCACAGUAGGAGAGAGAAGGGCAUCGCAGUGGGGGACAGGAGAGAGAAAGGCAUCGCAGUGGGGGACAUGAGAGAGAAGGGCAUCGCAGUGGGGGACAGGAGAGAGAAAGGCAUCGCAGUGGGGGACAGGAGAGAGAAGGGCUUUGCAGCGGGGGACAGGAGAGAGAAAGGCAUCGCAGUGGGGGACAGGAGAGAGAAAGGCAUCACAGUGGGGGACAGGAGAGAGAAAGGCAUCGCAGUGGGGGAAGGUAGAGAGAAAGGCAUCGCAGUGGGGGAAAGGAGAGAGAAAGGCAUCACAGUGGGGGACAGGAGAGAGAAAGGCAUCACAGUGGGGGAGAGGAGAGAGAAAGGCAUCGCAGUGGGGAACAGGAGAGAGAAAGGCAUCGCAGUGGAGGACAGGAGAGAGAAAGGCAUCGCAGUGGGGGACAAGAGAGAGAAAGGCAUCGCAGUGGGGGCCAGGAGAGAGAAAGGCAUCACAGUAGGAGAGAGAAGGGCAUCACAGUGGGGGACAGGAGAGAGAAAGGCAUCACAGUAG